rnacentral:rRNA from 1 species
AAUGUCCUACGGGGGGCAGCAGUGGGGAAUAUUGCACAAUGGGGGAAACCCUGAUGCAGCAACGCCGCGUGAAGGAAGACGGGUUUCGGAUUGUGUACUUCUUUUCUUAGUGAAGAAGCAAGUGACGGUAGCUAAGGAAUAAGCAUCGGCUAACUACGUGCCAGCAGCCGCGGUAAUACGUAGGAUGCGAGCGUUAUCCGGAGUUACUGGGUGUAAAGGGAGCGCAGGCGGGACUGCA